rnacentral:rRNA from 1 species
GCACUCCUACGGGACGCAGCAGUGGGGGAUAUUGCACAAUGGGGGGAACCCUGAUGCAGCGACGCCGCGUGGGUGAAGAAGCGCCUCGGCGCGUAAAGCCCUGUCAGCAGGGAAGAAAAUGACGGUACCUGAAGAAGAAGCCCCGGCUAACUACGUGCCAGCAGCCGCGGUAAUACGUAGGGGGCAAGCGUUAUCCGGAUUUACUGGGUGUAAAGGGGGCGCAGACGGCGAUGCAAGCGAGGAGCGAA